CCUUUUCAGGUUGACGACGUGGCAUUUCAGGUAAGAUCAUGAGGUGAAAUAAAUGGUAUAUACAGUAUACUGUAUGUUUGAAAUGACAGGCGUCACUGAAUAUCAUUUUCUUCAAACUAACCAUGUGACGUUUCAUCCAUAGAACACCACUGAUGUGACCCUGAAGGAGGUAAACAAUAUGACUCAUGACUUCAUUUAACUUUAAUUAACAAACUAUUCACUUCAUGUUGUAAAUUACACCUUCUUAUGACAUGUUAUGAUUUCCCUCUGUGAUCGUACAGGGGGAGAACACGUUUCUGAUGCCGAAGGUAAAUGACUGAAUAAUCCAUUUCAUUGUUAAGUUUUAUAACAGUUAAAUAAUGAGAAAUAAAGAUUCUAAAAAUUAUUAUCAAUGAAAACUAAUGACUGACAAUUUAUUUGUAGCGUGGUGGAAGAGGACACCGCCAUCAUAAGGUAGAAAAAGUCAUUUAACUCUUUAAAGCAAUAGUUACGAUAUCAAAGCUCAGACAGUUGGUCUGAUUUGUACAGGUUGCUUCAUUUACAGGCAGGAAGACACGGGCCUCAAAAGACUGGGCAAUAUGUGAAGCUCCUCUACAACGCCACAGAGCCGAACAAAGUCUCCAUUGAGUUUGGGGUUUUGAAACCGAUGAAUCUUGGUGAAUUUCGUGGAAAGGAGGACAAUCUAGAGGAAGAUUACUGACAACUUUAAAAGUAGGAAACCAACAAAUACUCAGUUUGAUCAACCAACUUUAAAGAAGAUUUUCUUUCCUGUAGUUCUGAGAAAUCACUUCUGUAAUUCGGCAUUUUCCUCUAAAAUCAUCAUUUCUGUGUACUACAAUAAAAAUCUUAAGCAAAUUACUUUGGCAAAGUUCUUUAUUUGACAUGUUUUG
rnacentral:lncRNA from 1 species